ensembl:lncRNA
AGAGAUAUUAUGUAGAACCUAGAAGAGAUGAUUUCUCUUUGAUAAAAGAUUCCACAACAUCUUUAAAAAGCCUUAAACGGUCCUUCAUUUUGCAUCCCUGACGAGAACCCUUCAACUCUAUCUUUCAUAAAGGGUUCUAAAGAACCUUUAGAAGGCCAUUAAGGGUUCUUCGGUUUGUACCCCUAGUCGGACCCUUUAACGAUUCUAUGUCGAACCCUACAAAGAUGACUUCUCUUUCAUAAAAUGACCCAAAACACCUUUAGAAAGCCCCGAGUGGUCCUUCAGUUUGAACCCCCAGUGGGCACCAUUAAAAAAAUCCUAUGUAGAACCCUACAACAGAAGGUGUCUUUAUUAAGGAAGGUUCCAAAGUGCCUUUAGAAACCGUAAGCGGGCCUUUGGUUUGUACCCUUGAAAAGAACCCUAAAACAGAUGAUUUCUCUUUCAUUAAAGGUUACAAAGCACCUUUAGAAAGCCCUAAAUGGUAAUUUGGUUUGUAGCAUCAGCAGGAACCCUUGAAGAUUCGGUGUAGAACCCUACUCUACAACAGAUGGCUUGUCUUUUCACAUAAUGAUCCAAAACACCUUUAGAAAGCUUUAGAAACCAUCCCAAGAACCCUUGAGGAACCCUAGUCAGAUUUUCUGACUAACCCAAUUUUUUUUUAAAAAUCCCAACACUACAAUGAAUACAUCGGUGCUUCUGUGCAUCACUACACCCAUAAUCAUGCACACACAAUAUUCUAUUUUCAUAUUCCCAAUUGCUUCGUUGCCUUUUCAGCAGGUCUGUGAUGUUAUUUGAGCAAACUUGGCAUCAAGUCUCCAUGUUCAACCCGAGGGCAAGAUUUGGUCACUUCCUCUCUACCUUGGUCUGCAGUCCCCUGCUGCGUUCCCGAGCUGUAGAAAGCUCCUGUAAUAGAAUCAAUCUCUUUCCUCUGCUGUCUGCACAGACUGACAUUAAUCCUCUGAGCCGUGGGGUGAGCUCUGGGGCACGAGCAAGUCGUACCCUUAUAUGACAUCGUGCACACAUGUCCUGCACACACUUGGGCUUGGAGGCAAGGUCAUGUUUUCCCCUACACACCAAAAAAGAAAAGCAAAAAGAUUUAGCUGUAGAAUGUUUAGCAGAGGAGCAGACACGCCCAAAGGACUGAACAAACCAGUGUAAAAAUUUCUCGGCAAUCACACACAGAUUGAAGAACGUCAUGGUGGUGUGCUCUUGCCUUUACCCUUCUCACACAUUACAGGUAAAAGAUAAACAACAAAGACAGACCUGCAGAUUUACGUCCGUCAAGAUCAGACCGAUAAUAUCCUCCAGCCCCAGACUACCUUAAUAAAAAUCUCCAUCCUGAGAACCUGUCAGAGCUCGUUCCAGUGGGGUUUGAUUGGCAGACACGCCAUCCAAUCGUGCUUGACUGACACGGCAGACAUCCUAAACUGUGACCUCGUGGCUGACCCCUGACCCAAAGCUGUCAGUCCCUCUGGGCAAAGACACGUGAGAAGAAGGACGUUUAAAACGAAGGCGCCAUUUUCCUGUUGGGCUCAAAGAAUAACAACUUCGACAUAGUGAAAAAGUAAAUGGCCUCCAGUAACCACUCUAUACACGGAUUUAUACCCAGGGGAAAUUUAGAGAUUUUCCAAACCACUGCCAAUGUUUUUGGGAGGUGGGAGGAAACCAGAGAACCAGGAAGAACCCCACAUCGACACUCGAGGUUCUGGCUUUUCAACACGCCAAAAAUGUGCACCCCUGUACACCCCAACACAUAUUUAAUGCCAAAAUUCCAUUAUACCCACGCCUGACGUGUCUUCCAGCUGUACUUUGCGUUUAAGCUUACAACUUAAUGUUGACAAACCCCACUCUAUCAUUAGACUUCGUAACACUUUGGUGCAAACUCAAGUGACAAGCGAUUAAACAGCGCACAAACUGUACAAGAACAAGCACAAAUACGUUUAAACCCCCAUUUGGUUUCAGCAGUGGGUAAAAUGCACUCCUUCCCUCGUCCACCGAUGCCAAGAUCUCUCUAUCAGGGUCUCCGGUCACGCUUCGGAAAGAUCAAGUUAAGAGGAACCUCUUUCUUUCUCACACUCUUUAGUGGCUUUCCAGGUUUUGAGAAUGAAGCAUAAAAUGGGCGGAACAGCAUCCAUUGAGAGCGUCCCCUUGUUCGCCGGGUGAGAUUAAUGGCCUUCCCACCCGAUGCCAAGCGCACACAAAGCCAGCAAGCCAGAGAGUUAGCAAUUAAUAUGCCGUGUUAUUGUUGGCCCUGUUCAGGCGUCCAAAUACGGAGAGGCUCAUAAACGGCCAUAGAUAUACAGUCAGUCCAAUAAAACGCUGGAGAUAAAGCAGCUUCGGAAUGAAGGGAAAGCUGGAACGUCAGAUCUAGCUGUGCGCAAUACAACCCGAGGGCAUUUCCGAGACGAUUACACGCACACGACUUUCACGUUUCAGAAACGUAAAACGAGUAGCAACAGGCUCCGGGGACAGACGUGAGGCCGUGACUGAUUAUAAGUCACAAAAAUUCACAUGCGCAAGAUUGCUAGGGAGAUUUUGGCAAGGUUUGUGCUCCCAAAAUACAGUCGAUCCCUUCAUUCUGUUUGUUGUAACAUUCAGAGUAGGUCUCUUAACCUCAGACGUCGAGUCUGCGUCGAUACGUGAUUGAUACGUGACCGACUUUGUUCAGAAUCUGGGGUAGGAGUAACGUUAAUUCAAGAACGAUGAUGAUGUACAGAAUGGUAAAUCACCUUGCUAGCCUGUUUACAGUUUAAAAAUCAGAUUAUUUAUUUAUUUAUUUUUACACACAAGCUGUUGCGAUUCAUUUCUACGUUUCCCUUUUACUUUGACGCAUCAGUCCAAAACAUUACACCCCAUUAUUUUAGACAGGAUCAGACUGAAAUCAUCAGCUUGUGUUAGCUUGCCAAUGAAUAAGCUAGCUAGUCAACUUGGUAGUUAGCUAAAAUCUAUUCUACUGUAUAAAAUAAAGCGUUUGGUAAAAUAUGGUAUUGAAUAAAGUGGUUCAUCUAUCAAUUCAGUAACUAUACAUA